GUGCUUGCUUUGGUAGCACAUACGCUAAAGUUGGAAUGAUAUGGAGAAGAUAAGCAUGGUCCCUGGGUAAGGAUGACUUGCAAAUUCCUGCCACUUUCCAUAUUUUU
ensembl:snRNA U6 U6 spliceosomal RNA